rnacentral:ncRNA from 2 species
UUCUUAUCAAGAAGGUGGAGGGACUGGCCCUAUGAAGCCUGACAACCGGCAAAUGUACGGUGUUAAUUCCUGCAAAACUUAUUUGUUUUGAAAGAUAAGAA